AGACACAGAGAGAAGAAGAGAAGGGUACGAAACCCUUGUUUCAAUUUCCGAUCGCCGUAACUUCUCCGUUCGAGCUCCAAUCGCCGCAUCGUUCGUGGCCAGAUGUCCAACGCAUCAAGCUCUACAUUUCUGUCGGAUCAAUUUCAUUGGUUCGAUUUAGCUUGUGGAGCUUAUUGGGUUUGAGUUGCUACGCGUAUGAGUGUGGUGUGAAUUAAGUUUAUAUACAUGCAUUGGAAUUGAGAAGUGAGCAUUUGGAGGCUUCGUGGUGAUUGAAGCUAAGCUUGUCUCUGGUUACUCUAAACUUGAGCGGCUGUGUUGUAGCUUGUGAGGCUGCUUUGGAUUAAAUAAAGUGAUCGGUCAAGGUAUGGUUUAGGUUUUGCGCGUUUAACAUAUAAUGUUUUGUAAAAACUUAGGCUAGAGAACCAUAGGAUAAAUUGAAAAGGGUUUUAUGCAUUAAAUGGUUAGUUUUGUGAUGUUGAUGGUAAAUUGAUGAUUAGGCUUGUGUAGAAAUUAAUGGUCAUGAGAUGAAUGGAAUUAAUCAGAAUGUGUUAUUGGAAUUAAUAAUGGUGAAUUGACGAUGUUGUUGGUAUAUGUCAAUGAGAUUUUGUGGUUAUGACUUGUUGAUUGGUUAAUGAUGAUUUAUGGGUUGUUAUUAAUGAAUUUGAAGAAGUAAAUUAAUGAAAUUUUAAAGUUGUAGCUUGUAGUUGGAAUGGAGAAUGUUAGAAUUAAUGUGUGAAUUUUAUGGAAUGGUGUGUAUUAAUGUGCUAGUGGUUGGUGUUAGUGAAAAGGAACUUGAUAUGUGGAAAAUUUGCAGGUUUUGUGGGUAAGGAAUGAGAAUUUGGUAAAAAUUGGGAUUCGGAAUAUUUUGGUAAAAAGUGAAUUUUUGUGAGCUUUGGUAGUCCAUAAUUUUCUCUACAAUUUUUUGAUAAGGAUGACGUUUGUUUCAAAUUAAAGAAGGUUUUAAAAGCUUGAGAUUGAUAUAAAGUUUGCGGAAAACCGAAUUUUGUAGAGAAAGUUAUGGACGCCGAAAAUUCGGUGCGUAAAACUGAAUUUUAAAAUGUUGCAGCAGAACCAGAUUUUCUGACGUGUGUCCACGCACACAGCUAUGCGCACGCACCCAACAGAAGCAAAAAAUUUAUCUGUGCGUACGCACGGCUUUGUGCGCACGCACACCUGGUGUUUUUCAUAAAGUGUGCGUACGCACGCCCUUGUGCACACGCACACACCAGGAUAGGCCUUCUGUUGGUGGCGCUAGCACGGGUGAGGCGCAUGCACACCGAGUGAUGUGUGCGUACGCACGCAUUUGUGCGCAUGCACACGUUCUACUUUCCUUCUGAGUUGUGUGCACGCACACCUGUGUGCAUACGCACACACUCUAUUUUUCGCACCUCUAUUUUUCUGUUCCAAAUAUGAUUUCUAACUUCCAAACCCUUAUUUUUGCCUUGUUAACCCUAGAUUUUACUAGUAAGCUAAGUAAUUAACGGAAGGUAGGAAUUUGAGGUAACUUGGGAAUGAAGUAAGAGGUAAAAUGAUGAGUUAUAUGAAGGAGACGAGAAUGUUAAAUGAAGUAUAAUGUCAUGGCUUUGAUGAAUGAUUAAAUAAUGAUUAUAAAUAUGAAAUGGCUUAUGAGUGAUAUGUGAGAUACGAGUUCCAGGUUGAAUCUCUAUAAUUUAUUGACCCUACGUCGUAAGGGUGACCGGGCACAUAUAAAUUUCCGGUUAUGGAUAGCCCCCAUUGAGUGAUUUAUGAAUAAAUGUUUGAAUGAUGAAUGAAUAUGAAAUCUAUGCAUAGACUUAUGGGGAUGCGCGACAGGGGACAGUCUAAGGUUUUCGGACUUGUCGGGUUGGCUGGAUAAUCGACAGAUGAGCCUCAUCAGUCAUAGGACAGGCAUACAUCAUAUACAUUUGUUUGUUUUGUUUUCUAUGCAUUAUUUGGGAUUGCCUAACUGAAUAUAUAUAUCCUACUACCUGAUAUACUUGCUACUUGUACUAUUUGUUUCUUACUUGUGCGUGAACUUGUUUCGCUGCUUGUCUCUGCUGAAUAAUUAUGGAUGACGCAAGAAGGGAGGAAGGGUGAACUGGUCAGGCGUUAGAUGUUAGAUUUUAAAGCAAAUAAGUAUAGGGUACUUAGAUUACCUACCCCUUUUUAUGGCUUCUACUUAGAGUUUAAGUUUUAUAACUGUAUGUUGGAGUUCUAGAAUUGCCUCUGGCAUUCCCAGGACCUUAUUAUUAUUAUACGCGUGGCACCUUUACCAUGCUGAGAACCUCCGGUUCUCACCCCAUACUGUGUUGUUGUUUUCAGAUGCAGGUCGAGAGGCUCCUCGCUAGGCGUCUAAAUUUCUAAAGCGGAGUAGUUCCUAGGAUAUUUUGGUUUAUUAGCUUAUGUAUAUUUGUACUUAAUUACUUAGCUUUC